rnacentral:misc_RNA from 1 species
GUAGGUGAACCUGCGGAAGGAUCAUUAUUAUAUUUUAUAUAUUUUGUUUCUGUUCUUUUUAACGAGAAUGGGGCAAUUUAUUAUUUAUCCAAGAGUGUGAUUUAUUAUAACAAACUUUUUUAUACAACAAAAACAACCCAAAAAACAAACAACAAAUACAAAUAGAUAAAAGAACCAAAAGAAAAACUAUACUAAUAGAGUAUUGUAAAAAUAAACAAAAAACAACUCUAGGCAAUGGAUAUCUUGGUUC